AUUUUGAGCGUUGCUAGUCUGAUUAGCUCGUUCGUAAUGUAUUAGCAUCUCUAAUUCGAUUUCGGAUUGACUCAGUGUAAUAGACUAUUCGCUGAGGACACUUUUAUUAGUGGCCGUACUAGAACCAGUAGAAGCUUCCAACUAUUGUAGUCAACUUUAGAUUAGACCUCAGAUCAGGCAGGAUUACCCGCUGAACUUAA
rnacentral:misc_RNA from 1 species